GGGCAUUUGGCCUGAUGGUAAAGUGCUGGACUGUUAAUUUCAGUGGCUAGGGUUCGAUUCCUAGCAGGCUCA